rnacentral:rRNA from 1 species
CCUACGGGAGGCAGCAGUAGGGAAUAUUGGACAAUGGGCGAAAGCCUGAUCCAGCAACGCCGCGUGUGCGAUGACGGCCUUCGGGUUGUAAAGCACUUUUAGAGGAGAUGAGAAAGGACAGUAUCCUCUGAAUAAGCCUCGGCGAACUACGUGCCAGCAGCCGCGGUAAU